UCACUCACAGCCCUAAUGAAGCUUUGAAAUUCUUUCUGUGGAGCGUUUUCCCUCUCGUUAACUCACUAUCAUUUUCUACUAGACUCUCUAUUUCGCAUUUUCGCUACUCUCUCCGUUAUUUGCAUAUGCUUUAAAAUAAUUUCAUUCCAUUAUUAUCAAUUUCCUUUCUCAGAAACUCUAUAGCCGCAUUCAAAAACCCUAAAGCCAGGCAAAUUCUCUCCAAUCAUGGAAUUGAAUCCAGAAUUUCUAUCCCAAUGUUUCCUUCACACACUCUCUCCCGCACCGGAGCCGCGGCGCGCCGCUGAGGCCAAACUCAUGGAGGCCGCCGAUCGCCCAAACUACGCGCUCACCGUUCUCCGUUUAGUCGCAGAACCAUCAGUUGAUGAGCAUAUCCGCCACGCGGCUGCCGUCAACUUUAAGAACCAUCUCCGCACUCGCUGGGCCCCAUCACCAGACUCUUCCCUCUGUCCUAUCCUGGAAGACGAGAAGAAUCAGAUCAAAACCCUAAUCGUUAGUCUCAUGCUCUCCUCCUCUCCUCGCAUUCAGUCACAGCUCGGCGAAUCGCUCUCUCUCAUUGGCAAACACGAUUUCCCCAAGUCAUGGCCGGCUUUGCUUCCGGAGCUCUUAGCUAAUCUCAGUGCCGCCUCUGGGAAUAAUGAUUAUGCCUCCGUGAACGGUAUCCUUGGUACGGCUAACUCUAUUUUCAAAAAAUUCCGUUAUCAGUACAAAACGAAUGAUCUCUUACUUGAUUUGAAGUAUUGUCUCGAUAAUUUUGCCAAACCAUUGCUAGACAUUUUCCUUAGGACAGCUACUUUAAUUGACUCAACGGUUAGUUCAGGUGGUGGCUCCCCUCUAGCUCUAAAGCCGUUGUUUGAGUCCCAGAGAUUGUGUUGUAGGAUAUUUUAUUCACUGAAUUUUCAAGAAUUGCCCGAGUUCUUCGAGGACAAUAUGGACAAGUGGAUGAUUGAGUUCAAAAAAUAUUUAACCACUAGCUAUCCUGCAGUUGAGAGCACUGCAGAUGGGCUAGCUGUUGUUGAUGAUCUUAGGUCUGCAGUAUGUGAGAAUAUUAGUCUUUACAUGGAGAAGAAUGAGGAGGAGUUUAAGGAAUACGUGGAAGGUUUUGCCCUUGCUAUUUGGACUUUGUUAGCGAAUGUAUCUCAGUCUUCUAGCCGUGACAGAUUAGCUGUUACAGCAAUUAAGUUUUUGACUACAGUGAGUACUAGUGUGCAACACACUCUGUUUGGUAGUGAUGGGGUCAUUCCGCAGAUUUGUCAGGGUAUUGUGAUUCCUAAUGUGCGGUUGAGGGAUGAGGAUGAGGAGCUCUUUGAGAUGAAUUAUAUUGAGUUCAUUAGGAGGGAUAUGGAGGGGAGUGAUCUUGAUACUAGAAGGAGGAUUGCGUGUGAAUUGCUUAAAGGAAUUGCAACAAACUAUAGGAUGCUGGUAACUGAAUUGGUUGCGGUUCAGAUACAGAAUUUGUUGAAUUCAUAUGCCGCAAACCCUGCAGCAAAUUGGAAGGACAAGGAUUGUGCUAUUUAUUUGGUUGUUUCCCUUGCAACUAAGAAGGCUGGGGGUACUUCUGUUUCAACUGAUCUCGUGGAUGUUCAGAACUUUUUUGCACAGGUGAUAUUGCCCGAGUUGCAGAGUCAGGAUAUAAAUGCGUUUCCAAUGCUUAAGGCUGGUGCUCUCAAGUUCUUUACAGUAUUUAGGAGUCUGAUACCAAAGCCUCUUGCAGUUCAGUUGUUCCCAGAUUUAGUUCGUUUCCUUGGUGCUGAGUCGAAUGUGGUUCAUUCUUAUGCUGCUAGUUGUAUAGAGAAACUCUUGCUAGUCAAGGAUGAGGGAGGCCGACCACGGUAUACUUCAGCAGAUGUUACUCCAUUCCUUCAGGUGCUGAUGAAUAACCUCUUCAAUGCCUUGAAGUUUCCAGAGUCUGAGGAGAAUCAAUAUGUAAUGAAGUGUAUUAUGCGUGUUCUAGGUGUGGCAGAAAUAUCCUCUGAGAUUGCAGCUCCUUGUAUUUCUGGAUUGACUUCAAUUCUCAAUGAAGUGUGCAAAAAUCCAAAGAAUCCAAUUUUCAACCACUAUCUCUUUGAGUCAGUGGCUGUUCUUGUUAGGCGUGCAUGUGAGAGGGACAUCUCUCUCAUACCAGCUUUUGAAACGAGCCUUUUUCCCAGCCUCCAGGUUAUCUUGGCAAAUGAUGUCUCUGAGUUCUUGCCUUAUGCAUUCCAGCUCUUGGCUCAGCUCGUUGAGUUGAGUAGGCCUCCAAUCUCUCCUAAUUACAUGCAAAUUUUUGAACUUCUCCUCUCCCCUGAUUCAUGGAAGAGAAAUUCAAAUGUGCCGGCCCUUGUGCGUCUACUUCAAGCUUUUCUUCAAAAAGCACCCCAUGAGCUCAAUCAAGAGGGGCGACUUGGCCAAGUGCUAGGCAUAUUCAACAGGCUUGUGUCAUCCCCAAGUACUGAUGAACAAGGCUUCUACGUGCUUAACACUGUGAUUGAGAAUCUGGACUAUGGUGUUAUAGCUCCCUUCAUGGUUCAUAUCUGGAAUGCCCUAUUUACACGCCUGCAAAACAAACGGACUGUGAAGUUUGUCAAGUCCCUCUUGAUUUUUAUGUCACUCUUUUUGGUCAAACAUGGUCCUGCGAAACUCGUAGAAACGAUGAAUGCAGUUCAACCCAAUAUAUUUAUUGUGAUUCUGGAGCAGUUCUGGAUUCCCAAUAUUAAGCUAAUCACUGGGCCUAUUGAAGUUAAAUUAGCUGCAGUUGCCUCAACUAGAUUGAUAUGUGAAUCUCCUACCCUUUUGGAUGCUGCCGCUGUUAGAUACUGGGGAAAGAUGCUGGACAGCGUUGUUACCCUUCUCUCACGGCCAGAGGAGGAUAGAGUUGAAGAGGAACCAGAAAUGCCAGAUAUUAGUGAAAAUAUGGGUUAUACUGCCACCUUUGUCAGUCUUUACAAUGCUGGGAAAAAGGAAGAGGAUCCUCUUAAGGACAUAAAGGAUCCAAAACAAUUCUUAGUUGCUUCAAUGGCCCAACUUUCUGUUAUGUCUCCUGGGAGGUAUCCACACAUCAUCAGUGAAAAUCUUGAGCCAGCAAAUCAAACAGCACUAAUGCAGCUUUGCAGCACUUACAAUUGCCCAAUUGUUUGAGUGUACGUGAAAAGGGAAAAGGCUGAUUGAUUUGUGCAUAAUCCCUGGAAAAUGUGGACUUAAUGACCUCUAUUCUGUGUCUUUAAAGGACGUGUAAACUGUUCGACGUAUAACCAUGUUUGCAUGAAAAGAUUCAUGCAUGCGGUAUUGAGGUCUAUUUUGUGGUCAGUUUCAAUGAAGUGUUUUCAACAUGGUUUUGCAAGCAGAUAACAUCUUUCAUUAUGGUCAACGGAAUUCGGCAAUUAAUCAACUGUUUUGCUAAAUCCCUGAAGGUCUCAUUAAGCAAUGACAUGGGGUCUGCAGUUCUGCUGAGGUUCAAAUUUGCUUAAAGAGCGGAUUGUGGUUCCACAAGGGGGAGUUUUUUUGGAAUCUGCUUUAACAAGCCAGUUACUUGGGUUUGUCAAGAAUUGUUAUUACUGUUUAUUCUGGUCACUUGAGUUGUAAUGUCAUUGUUCUCCAUACAUAGCAUGCAUGCAUUGUUGGGUCAUUUAGUUGAUGUAAAACAAGGAAAACGAGUUCCUUGAGUUGAGGGAAUAGGUUCAAUUACUGUGUAGAUGAGUAUUGAUUUAUUUCCUGUUGAAAGUCUUGGCUGUUAUUUAUUAAUUAAAUGAGUAUCUCAUUAAUGGGUUGUCAUGCA